rnacentral:rRNA from 1 species
GAUGAACGCUGGCGGCGUGCCUAAUACAUGCAAGUCGAGCGAACGGACGAGAAGCUUGCUUUUCUGAUGUUAGCGGCGGACGGGUGAGUAACACGUGGAUAACCUACCUAUAAGACUGGGAUAACUUCGGGAAACCGGAGCUAAUACCGGAUAAUAUUUUGAACCGCAUGGUUCAAAAGUGAAAGACGGUCUUGCUGUCACUUAUAGAUGGAUCCGCGCUGCAUUAGCUAGUUGGUAAGGUAACGGCUUACCAAGGCAACGAUGCAUAGCCGACCUGAGAGGGUGAUCGGCCACACUGGAACUGAGACGCGGUCCAGACUCCUAAGGGAGGCAGCAGUAGGGAAUCUUCCGCAAUGGGCGAAAGCCUGACGGAGCAACGCCGCGUGAGUGAUGAAGGUCUUCGGAUCGUAAAACUCUGUUAUGAGGGAAGAACAUAUGUGUAAGUAACUGUGCACAUCUUGACGGUACCUAAUCAGAAAGCCACGGCUAACUACGUG